UACGUAGGGUGCGAGCGUUGUCCGGAAUUAUUGGGCGUAAAGGGCUCGUAGGCGGUCUGUCGCGUCGGGAGUGAAAACUCAGGGCUUAACCCUGAGCCUGCUUCCGAUACGGGCAGACUAGAGGUAUGCAGGGGAGAAUGGAAUUCCUGGUGUAGCGGUGAAAUGCGCAGAUAUCAGGAGGAACACCAGUGGCGAAGGCGGCUCACUGGCCCGGUACUGACGCUGAGGUGCGAAAGCGUGGGGAGCAAACAGG
rnacentral:rRNA from 1 species